rnacentral:miRNA from 1 species
CCUGUUAGGGGAAAAGUCCUGGUCGGGGAACCCACAGCCCUGUUCCUGGGCCUCUCUUCUGUAG